UAUCGCAAAAAGGACCUCCUCUCCUCCUUUUUUGCUUUUGAGAUGGAGAUUACUUGUUCCUCUCAAAAACUUUUUUGAGAUCUCCUCCCCCUUUUUUAAGAAACUGUGACAGGGGACUAUAUCUGGACCCAUGCUUUUUGGUGCAUUUUUUCUGUGGGUCAAACACUUUUAAUAACAUUCUGGAGACCUCCCGGACAAACUCUAUCUCGCACUGGGACGAGCACACCGGAGCUCCUCUUUUUUGUAUCAGUGUCCCCACCAGGCACCAGGGCACCAGAGGCCAAAGACCAUCUCGCUGGAGCACAGCUGGUAAAACCUCACCGAACAAUCCAGCACCCCAGCUCGGCAAAGGACGGCCAGGAGCAGAUCAACCAGACCACUGUUGGACCUCCAUGAGACCUUCACCGACGCUGCCAGGAGCAGGUUGGGGAGUUCCCUCUCCACCAUCCCGGAAUUAUCCGACGAGGACGAAUUUCCACCACUGCCAGCCUCCAGUGUUGCCGGUGCCCGGACUGGCACAAUGGGAGAACCAGGAGCCCUGGUCGUAUUAACAGGAGGAUCACUAAACAUGAUGAGCGGCUUAAUAAAGGCUAAUGUAGCCAACCACACCGUAUCUGAGACCUCC